AAGAUGUUGUAUUUUAAUUUUUCUUCAAUUAAGUUUUCACGCUACAUAGAUGGCACCAUUAACUGCCACAGGGAUCUACUGUAGCCAGGUAGCACCACUAGCCACCAUUGAGUCCAAGCCUUCAGACUAAUGGCCCGGGGCGCUUGACCCCCAUGUUGUUUACUGUAACAUAAACAGUAUGUGUUUGGAAGUUCACCCUGCCUGAUGUCUCUUUCCUUCCAUGGCUCCCAUGCCCCCCGGCCCGCCGGUCACCACCUCGUCAUGCAAGACCCUCAUCUUUUCCGCAGGCCCGCAUGGGCUCUGCUCUACUUUAUUUUCACGGGUGGCCGUCAUCUACCAGUGUGCCACUCGCCCUUCUGGACCACAACGAAUCAAGGGGGCCCCUCCUGACACCGCUGUUGCACCAAGAUGAACCCAAGCAGGAGACGAGGCCCAUACAAGAGGUACUAGACGGAUGGAAAACUGCCGUUUCUUGGAGAUGCUGGGAUCGUCCAACUACCCUGGUUGCAGCCUCGUCCUUUA
rnacentral:misc_RNA from 1 species